rnacentral:lncRNA from 1 species
AAAACACACAGUGGCUCCCCCCUAGCCAUGGUCAAGUCGAGGCCAAAUAUAGUAAAUACAAAAUUAUAGAAAUAAGCAACUCGUGGGUUUAAACCACUCUGAGUGGUGUAAGGCAGCCUCACACUAUCCCCCCAGGAUGCGAACGAUCCCUUCAGUCAGUGGGUCUGCAGCGUACAUGCGGCCUGCCCAGUAGUUGCUUGUCACAGCCAUCUGCAGUGGCACACCAACCGUCAUGUAUCACAGUGCCUGAGUAGUGUAGCCCAGCGCUCCUUUACGCACCUGCUUAUUCACAGGCACUGUGUUGUUUCCAUCAGUUAGGUACAGUUCAAGCAGAGACGGAGCACAUCACUCCUAUUGCACUAUGUGUGUACUGUUUUAUAUGUUGUUAUGCAUCUAUUCCUGUGCCUAACUUACAAAUUGAACUUUAGCAUAGGUGUGUAUAUAGAGGGAAACAUAAUGUAUGUAGGGUUGAGUUCUGUCUGUGGUUUCAGGCAUCCCCUGGGGGUCUUGGAAUGUAUCCCUCACACAUAAGAGGCGACUACUGUACUUCUUAACACUAACCAAAAGAAAGGCAAAAUGACAUCAAUUAAAAUAGACCUAAGAGCAAAGAAGCUGACCUUAAAUAGGGGCAUUAUUAUUGGGACUGAGGUUGUAACUCAGGGGUAGAAUAAAGGGUGAGUGCACCAAGGACACUUGCAGUCCUGUUGUGUCCACCUGGGAACAAAGCAGUAAAAGAAAUGAGGUAAAGCUAGACGGAGUUGAAAGAACUAGGACUGCAAGUGCAGUCACGCAUGUCGACUAUUCUCAGUGACUUGAUUAAGGUUGAGAGAAUUUCCACAUAGAGAAGACUUGAACACAUCAAGCCACUCAACCUGCUAACAGCUGAAGAUACUCCACCCAGCAACAGAGCCCAGCUUCUUCUCAGCCCCAUGGACCUGUGCCGGCAUAGAGUGUGUUCAAGGCCCUGAAAACAAGCUCAGGAGAACUAAAAUCAUGCAAAUGUAUUUUCUGAACAUAAAGGAAUUAAAUUAGAAACUGUUGAACAGACUGGCAGUAGGAGACUCCAAACAAUAAAGCAGUGCUUAG